GGACUACAGGGGUUUCUAAUCCUGUUUGCUCCCCACGCUUUCGCACCUCAGCGUCAGUUAGAGUCCAGUGAGUCGCCUUCGCCACUGGUGUUCCUUCCGGUAUCUACGCAUUUCACCGCUACUCCGGAAAUUCCACUCACCUCUACUCCACUCCAGCCAUCCAGUUUUGAACGCAAUUCCCAAGUUAAGCUCGGGGAUUUCACAUCCAACUUAAAUAACCGCCUACGCGCGCUUUACGCCCAGUAAUUCCGAUUAACGCUCGCACCCUCUGUAUUACCGCGGCUGCUGGCAC
rnacentral:rRNA from 1 species